GACGAACCGUGCGAACGUUAUUCGGAAUCACUGGGCUUAAAGGGUGCGUAGGUGGCGCCGUAAGUCGGGUGUGAAAUUUCGGAGCUUAACUCCGAAACUGCAUUCGAUACUGCGGUGCUUGAGGACUGGAGAGGAGACUGGAAUUUACGGUGUAGCGGUGAAAUGCGUAGAUAUCGUAAGGAAGACCAGUGGCGAAGGCGGGUCUCUGGACAGUUCCUGACACUGAGGCACGAAGGCCAGGGGAGCAAACGGG
rnacentral:rRNA from 1 species